rnacentral:rRNA from 1 species
AGUGAACGCUGGCGGUAGGCCUAACACAUGCAAGUCGAACGGCAGCACAGUAAGAGCUUGCUCUUACGGGUGGCGAGUGGCGGACGGGUGAGGAAUACAUCGGAAUCUACUUUUUCGUGGGGGAUAACGUAGGGAAACUUACGCUAAUACCGCAUACGACCUACGGGUGAAAGCAGGGGAUCUUCGGACCUUGCGCGAUUGAAUGAGCCGAUGUCGGAUUAGCUAGUUGGCGGGGUAAAGGCCCACCAAGGCGACGAUCCGUAGCUGGUCUGAGAGGAUGAUCAGCUACACUGGAACUGAGACACGGUCCAGACUCCUACGGGAGGCAGCAGUGGGGAAUAUUGGACAAUGGGCGCAAGCCUGAUCCAGCCAUACCGCGUGGGUGAAGAAGGCCUUCGGGUUGUAAAGCCCUUUUGUUGGGAAAGAAAAGCAGCAGGUUAAUACCCCGCUGUUCUGACGGUACCCAAAGAAUAAGCACCGGCUAACCUCGUG